rnacentral:rRNA from 1 species
GACAGAGGGGGGCAAGCGUUGCUCGGAAUUACUGGGCGUAAAGGGCGCGUAGGCGGGAUGGCAAGUCGGUCGUGAAAUCCCUCGGCUCAACCGAGGAACGUCGAUCGAUACUGCUGUUCUUGAGGAUUGCAGAGGAGACUGGAAUUCCCGGUGUAGCGGUGAAAUGUGUAGAGAUCGGGAGGAACACCGGUGGCGAAGGCGGGUCUCUGGGCAAUUCCUGACGCUGAGGCGCGAAAGCGUGGGGAGCAAACGGG